CCAGUUCUUUCCUUCCUGAGGAAGGCCACAUUUAGUCUCCAAUCUCUUGGUUUGGAUGUGAUCAGCAUUCAUCUGAGAGGAGGAAAGAGAACAUAGAGACUGAGGAUGAGUCCCUGCCAGGAAAAUUGGGAACAAAAUAACUGGGAAAAGGGAAAAAUAACUUGGUAAAGGGAAAAGCCUCCCGUCCCGAGACGACUGAGCCCGGGGCGCGUCCUCCGCUCUGCGGGCGCCUGCAGUGAGUGGGCCGAGCCCGCCGGCGCCCAGCCCUCAGACGAGCCGCGCGGGGCCGCGCCUGUGCCCCGGGCGGGGAGCACGUGAGGGGGCGGCGGGCCCGCCCUGGUCCGGGUAGCCGAGGAUGCGUUUCUGUCCGGUCUUACGAAAUGGGAACGGCCGGCCCUGGCGCCGCAGUUUGGCCGCGGAGGGACUGAUAUCCACGCAGGAUAUUGCUCAGCGCCCGUACCCACCGCGACUUCGGCAAAGGCUUCCUUGUGGGCCGGGCAAAGGAUGCUGCGCCUGCCGUCCCUGGACCCGCCCGGCACCGCACGUCUCCUGGGCCCACAAGGCCUGCUCGCCGGGAGUUUCAGUUUUCUGUCUCCUGAGCUCCGCAGCCCGGAGCGUCCUGACCAGACCAAGAUCUGCGCUCGCGCUGCCCCCCGUGGGUGAAAGAACCGACUGUCGUUGGGUGCCGUGGCUGGACGGAGGAUUUCAAGACCGGAUAGAGCAUAUUCCAGAUUACUGGAGCUACUGA
rnacentral:lncRNA from 1 species